AACGGUCUAUACCUGCGGUACCUGCGGAGGGAUCAUUAUAGAGUGGUAAACCCCCCGUAAAAGGGGGGGACCUCCUGUCCUUUGUAGGCUCUUUUUUAAAAGGGCUUUUUUUAAUUUUCUGCUUCGGUGGGGUUAUCCCACCGGAACAACCUCAAAACUCUUAUCAAAAAAUCGUUCUGUCUGAGAACCUUUUAUAAUAAAAAAAAACUUUUAACAACGGAUCUCUAGAUCGGAAGAGCA
rnacentral:misc_RNA from 1 species